GAUGAACGCUGGCGGCGUGCCUAAUACAUGCAAGUAGAACGCUGAAGCUUGGUGCUUGCACCGAGCGGAUGAGUUGCGAACGGGUGAGUAACGCGUAGGUAACCUGCCUCUUAGCGGGGGAUAACUAUUGGAAACGAUAGCUAAUACCGCAUAAAAGUCGAUAUCGCAUGAUGUUGACUUGAAAGGUGCAAUUGCAUCACUAAGAGAUGGACCUGCGUUGUAUUAGCUAGUUGGUGAGGUAACGGCUCACCAAGGCGACGAUACAUAGCCGACCUGAGAGGGUGAUCGGCCACACUGGGACUGAGACACGGCCCAGACUCCUACGGGAGGCAGCAGUAGGGAAUCUUCGGCAAUGGGGGCAACCCUGACCGAGCAACGCCGCGUGAGUGAAGAAGGUUUUCGGAUCGUAAAGCUCUGUUGUAAGAGAAGAACGAGUGUGAGAGGGAAAGUUCAC
rnacentral:rRNA from 1 species